GCAAGUCGAACGAGAUCUUCGGAUCUAGUGGCGCACGGGUGCGUAACGCGUAUGCAACUUACCUCUUACUGGGGAAUAACUUCGCGAAAGUGGAGCUAAUACCGCAUAAAAGACAGUGAGGCAUCUCACAAUCUUAAAAGGUUACGGUAGGAGAUGGGCAUGCGUCCCAUUAGCUAGUUGGUAAGGUAACGGCUUACCAAGGCGACGAUGGGUAGGGGAACUGAGAGGUCGAUCCCCCACACUGGUACUGAGAUACGGACCAGACUCCUACGGGAGGCAGCAGUAAGGAAUAUUGGUCAAUGGACGAGAGUCUGAACCAGCCAUGCCGCGUGCAGGAAGAAGGCGUUCUGCGUCGUAAACUGCUUUUAUAUAGGAAGAAAAAGCUCUUGCGAGAGCGAUUGACGGUACUAUAUGAAUAAGCACCGGCUAACUACGUGCCAGCAGCCGCGGUAAUACGUAGGGUGCAAGCGUUGUCCGGAUUUAUUGGGUUUAAAGGGGGCGUAGGCGGAAGCUUAAGUCUUGGGUGAAAUCCCACCGCUCAACGGUGGAACUGCCUGAGAAACUGGGUUUCUUGAGUAUAGUUGAGGUAGCUGGAAUUGGUGGUGUAGCGGUGAAAUGCAUAGAUACCACCAGGAACCCCUAUUGCGAAGGCAAGUUACUAAGCUAUAACUGACGCUGAGGCACGAAAGCGUGGGGAGCGAAC
rnacentral:rRNA from 1 species